GACGAACGCUGGCGGCGCGCCUAACACAUGCAAGUCGAACGAGAGAGAGGAAGCUUGCUUCCUUAAUCGAGUGGCGAACGGGUGAGUAACGCGUGAGGAACCUGCCUCAAAGAGGGGGACAACAGUUGGAAACGACUGCUAAUACCGCAUAAGCCCACGGCCCGGCAUCGGGUUGAGGGAAAAAGGAUUUAUUCGCUUCAGGAUGGACUCGCGUCCAAUUAGCUAGUUGGUGAGGUAACGGCCCACCAAGGCGACGAUUGGUAGCCGGACUGAGAGGUUGAACGGCCACAUUGGGACUGAGACACGGCCCAG
rnacentral:rRNA from 1 species